rnacentral:rRNA from 1 species
GAUGAACGCUGGCGGCGUGCUUAACACAUGCAAGUCGAACGGGAUCUCAGGAGCUUGCUCCUGGGUGAGAGUGGCGAACGGGUGAGUAAUGCGUGACCGACCUGCCCCAUACACCGGAAUAGCUCCUGGAAACGGGUGGUAAUGCCGGAUGCUCCGACUCCUCGCAUGGGGUGUCGGGAAAGAUUAUAUCGGUAUGGGAUGGGGUCGCGUCCUAUCAGGUAGUCGGCGGGGUAACGGCCCACCGAGCCUACGACGGGUAGCCGGCCUGAGAGGGCGACCGGCCACAUUGGGACUGAGAUACGGCCCAGACUCCUACGGGAGGCAGCAGUGGGGAAUAUUGCACAAUGGGCGCAAGCCUGAUGCAGCGACGCCGCGUGCGGGAUGACGGCCUUCGGGUUGUAAACCGCUUUUGAUCGGGAGCAAGCCUU